rnacentral:rRNA from 1 species
CCUACGGGAGGCAGCAGUGGGGAAUAUUGCACAAUGGGGGAAACCCUGAUGCAGCGACGCCGCGUGAGUGAAGAAGUAAUUCGUUAUGUAAAGCUCUAUCAGCAGGGAAGAAAAUGACGGUACCUGAGUAAGAAGCCCCGGCUAACUACGUGCCAGCAGCCGCGGUAAUACGUAGGGGGCGAGCGUUGUCCGGAAUUACUGGGCGUAAAGAGAGCGUAGGCGGCACUACAAGUCUCAUGUGAAAUACCCGGGCUUAACUUGGGGGUUGCAUGGGAAACUGUAGAGCUUGAGUACAGGAGAGGCAAGCGGAAUUCCUAGUGUAGCGGUGAAAUGCAUAGAUAUUAGGAGGAACACCAGUGGCGAAGGCGGCUUGCUGGACUGAAACUGACGCUGAGGCUCGAAAGCGUGGGGAGCAAACAGGAUUAGAUACCCUUGUAGUC